rnacentral:lncRNA from 1 species
GAGUUUACUUGCAGAUGGGGGUGACGACCCAUUUUUAUUUUUAUUUUAUUCAUUUAUUUAUUUGUCUCCCUAGGGCCGCACCCAGUGUGGCAUGUGGAGGUUCCCAGGCUAGGGGUCCAAUCCGAGAUAUAGCCGCCAGCCUACACCACAGCCACAGCAAUGCAGAAUCCAAGCUGAGUCUGCGACCUACACCACAGCUCAUGGAAACAUGGGAUCCUUAACCCACUGAGCAUGGCCAGGGAUCGAACACGCAUCCUCCUGGAUGCUUGUCGGGUUCAUUAUCCCCUGAGCCAUGAAGGGAACUCUGACAAUCCAUUUUUAAAUGCUUCUGCUAGCCCACAUCUCUGAAGUGCACUGCAAUGAGUUUAAACAGGAAAGCACUGCACUGUGCGGUCAUCAUUGGGAGAAAGAGCCUUGAACCAGGAAUAGACAUAAAAACUUUUUCUGUCACCUUUCAGGGAGGCUGUAGAGCCAUCUUCCCUGGAAGUGCAUUUACAGCUAUUUUUAUAGAGUAUCUAUACCAUUCUUUCCAGAUCAGGGAAAUAUAUUCAUUGGACCUUCCAGAAAUUGGAUUUUCUGGUCCUUUAAGUCCAUGAUUUGGAUUCUCCUCUUGUCUGAGAAUCACAGAGAUAGUUUGCCUCUGCUGAUGCCCAGGAAGCUGGAACCAGUAGUCCCAGGGGCAGGUAGGUCAGAGCUUCUGCCUCAUGUCACCAGCCUCCCAACGUCACAACCAGUGAAAGGAAAUUGAGCGAAUUUCCUGCCUCUGGUUUUGAAUGUGAGAACUAAAGUAGAAACCCAGUACUCUCACUUGACACAAAAUAAAGAUGGGGAAAAGUUUCUUUUAUGUUUCAGGAAAUGAUUACGUUUUGGUGAAGUGCUUAGAGGUAUAAUAUGAGCGGGAUAAUUUUCACAGCAUUUGAUGUUCCGAAUGUUGUGGGGCUCUUCCAUGACACAUAAUCAGUAUUAAGCCAACAUUUAUAAAAUAAAAAAUGAAACCAAGUUUCUCACCAGGAAAAUUGGUUUCCAUUCAACAAGAUGUCCUACGGCAUCCUUAUAAUUUUCAGGUUUCAGUUUUUCAGGACUCACUUUUACCACAAGGGAUGACAUUUAGAAAAUAAAGAAUCCUGGGUGUCCCCUAAAAGGAAGUGUACCAAAAUAUUAGGAGAGUAUCUGACCCUAAGUAAAUCAAUAUUUAAUUAUAACCACUGGUUGAACCUUUGUCUUGCCUUCUUCCUAUUACAAAACCCCCAAUAUUGCUGCUAUCUCUAUUGUUCUUUUUUGAAUAACUUUACAGAUCCACCCUUUUCCUAAUAUUGUAUUUAGUAUUAAAAAUGGAUUUUUGAUGUGUCUAAAGAGAACUAUGUAAGUGAGUGUUAUUCAUAUUAUGUACAUUAAAGAUGUGUGAAAUAAAUAGCAGUAUAAAAUAUAACCCCUGCCCUUUCAUAGCAUACCAUUUUUUAUUUUAUUUUAAUUUGUAUUUUUAUUUUUUGCUUUUUAGGGCUGCACCUAUGGCAUAUGGAAGUUCCCAGGCUAGGGGUCAAUUCAGAGCUGUAGCUGCUGGUCUACACCACAGCUGCAGCAAUGCCAGAUCCGAGCCAUGUCUGUGACCUACACCACAGCUCACGGCAAUGCCAGAUCCUUUAAUCCACUGAGGGAGGCCAGGAUGGAACCCACAUCCUCAUGGAUGCUAGUCGGAUUUGCUUCUGCUGCACCACAAUGGGAACUCCCGCAUAUCGUUGAAUGGGGAAAUAAAACAUACACACAUACAAGUAAAAAAUACUUUUAAAAUUAUGUUGAUAUUUCUCACAAUAUGUUCUGCACACAACCUAUAUCAGAUUCAUUUAGUUUAUGCUUGUUAAAACACAUGUGCCUAAGUCCCAGCUCAGAGUUACUGAGUCAGAAGUUCAUGGGAAUAGGGCCUAGAAGACUGCAUUUUAUGGGCACUCUAAAGUUUACAAUUUUUUUGUAUUAUAUGAAACUACCAGGAAAAUAUUAAGGACUAGAAGUUCUCUAAGCCAGCAGUAGAAGGGGAGAUUAUAUCUAGAUAAUCAGGAAAGGUGUUUGAGUAUGUGGAUUUGAACUUGGUUUUAAAUAAUGAGCAAUAUUUUGGCAGUGGUGAGUUAAAAUCUGACAUAGUGUCCAGGAGGAUGUGGGUUCAAUCCCUGGCCUUGCUCAGUGGGUUGAGGAUCUGGCAUUGCUACAAACUAUGGCUGGGUCUGGUGUUGCUGUGGCUGUGGUGUAGGCCAGCAGCUGCAGUUCUGAUUAGAUGUCUAGUCCAGGAACUGCUAUAUGGUGCAGAUGUGCCCCCCCCUCAAAAAAAAAUGCUAAUGGGGAGAAAAUCCAACUAGUUUAGCUAAAAGUGAGAAGUUUUGGAGAAAAAUCUAGAAAGAUAAGUUAAAGAGUUCUUGAAUGCCUAGCCAAGAUCUCUAGACAUUUUCCAGUGUUUAAAAAAUAGUUAGGUAAAUAUUUCUUUGUAAAUAAUGCAAUUGCACUAACAUAUUGCCUGAUUUUAAGAUUACAGACAUUUCUGAGUUAUGAGGAUAGAGGUGGCCUUUACAGAGCACAUGCUAUCUUAAAGACAAAAUAUAAAAGUGAAAAAAAAUCCCUCAAAACCACUUUUUUAAAGAACUGAAACAGCCCCAGAGAAAUCGAGAAUUUUGUGAGAACUACAAAACUAAUUAACUGCCACAGUGGCCAAUUGGGUCUCUGUUUUGUAUUUACAAGUCAGGGAAGCUGAUAAAUGUUUUGAGUUCUUGCUCAAAUGCCUUUUCUCUUUGACAAGUGAAAAAAAAAAGUUGGGGGGUGGGGACUGUGGAAAAAUCUGAAAGCCAAAACUCCUUUUCUACUGGUUGAUGAGAAAAAGAAACAAGCUAAAAAGUUGACUGUUGGAAAACCAGCACAGUGAAUUCACUUCCUACAUGGCAUAUGUGUUAACAGGUGGAUUCCUACUACUGCACUUACCUUUCAAGGUAAACCUUGGCCUGAUCAGUAGCCCCUUUCCUUCUGGUUCCCACAGCAGGGGAGUUAGAGAACACAAUUCAUGAAUAAGUGUCCUGCAGAGGGAUGGUGUUGACAGACCCAGGUCAAAGUACCCCAGGCUAUUUGAGAGAUGUAGUCCCUGGCUGGGGACGUCUCACUAAUUCUGUAAAGGCUUCCUCCCCAGGAAGGAACAAAGCAAGAUCUAGGUAAAGGAAGGAUGGAGAGAGAAAGAGUGGGACUGCAAGACACUGAGAGAACAGAGGAGAAUUCAAUGUUGAAACCUGGAGAAUGCUCUCAGUCCUGAAAAUGCAUAUCAUGGAAUACCACUCAGCCAUAAAAAAAUGGAAUAAUGCCAUUUGCAGCAACAUGGAUGCAACUAGAGAUUCUUCUACUAAGUGAAGUAAAUCAGAAAGACAAAUGCCAGGUGAUAUCACUUAUAUGUGGAAUCUAAAAUAUGGCACAAAGGAACCCAUCUACAAAACAGAAACAGACUCACACACAUGGAGAACAAACUUACAGUUGCCAAGGGAGAGGGGGGAGGGAGUGGGGUGACCUUGGAGUUUGGGGUUAGUAGAUGCAAACUAUUACAUUUAGAAUGGAUAAGCAAUGAGGUCCUGCUGUAUAGUAUAAGGAAUUAUAUCCAAUCUCUUUGGGAUAGACCAUAAUGGAAGAUAAUACAAGAAAGAGAAUGUAGAUGUAUGACUGGGUCACUUUGCUGAGCAGCAGAAAUUGGCACAACAUUGAAAACAACUAUUCUUUCAUUUUUAAAAUGAAAAAAAAAAAAAAGAAUGUUUCUAUCCCACUUUCUUCUCUUAUAAACAUGAAACACGAGAACACAGAAGAACUCAAAGGUACUUAGUACCCAAUUAGAGGCCCAAAACUGAAGUUUAAAGAAAGAGUGAAAUGAAGUAAUGAAACAUAACUUCAGGCAAGAACUGAGGGUAUUACAAUAGAUGGACUUAAUAAGAAUAAAAAUGUGUGGGAAGGAGGUGGGAAAGUCAAGUGGUUUCUUAGUAACUGAUGAAGUAACUGGGAAGUAACAAAAAACACAGAUGAAGCAACAGCUCUUAGGGCUCUUCUCUCUCACCUAGGACAUUUAUGCCAUUUUCUUUGCCCCAGAACUUGGUGCUUUCAUAGCAAUGUCUUCUGCAAGUCUCAGUGUAGAUCCAGGUUCAUCUGCUGCUGCUCUUUCUUCUCCUGCGUCCUCUUAAGAUUUGAUACUUAAGACUUCUGAAGGCAAUUCUCAUCCACAGUACCAGGGGUGGUGGGAGCAACUACUCUCCAGGAAGUUUUGUACGAUGUUUUUUCAGACACACAUGCUCUGGAGUUUGUUGUUCAUGCUACUUUAAAAAAUGUUAUUGGUGGAGUUACCAUCAUGGUACAGCAGAAACAAAUUUGAUUAGGAACCAUGAGGGACAGGGAUGGUUCGAUCCCUGGCCUUGCUCAGUGGGUUAUGGAUCUGGCAUUGCCAUGAGCUGUGGUGUAGGUUGCAGGUAUGGCUCAGAUCUGAUGAUGUGGCUUGGAUCUGAUGAUGCUGUGGCUGUGGUGGGGGCUGGCAGCUGUAGGCUCCAAUUUGGCCCCUAGCCUGGGAUCCUCCAUAUG